UUCCAAAGUGUUGAGUUCAGGUCAGGAUAACUUUCCUGGUCUGUUAAUUAAGCUUUGGGACAUUGAAGUUGGCCCAGGGAGAUGACUGAAUAGAAAGUACUUCUAUUCACUUCCUUCUUGCCUACACUA